rnacentral:ncRNA from 1 species
AGCGCGUUGCCGCCGGGUAACAGACAGAUAAUGCAUCUGCCUCCAUGUCGUUAGGCCAUAGAAGACAUGGAAGCCGGUGCAUAUUUUUU